AUUGAAAGAGUUGCCAUUUAUGAAUUUUCAACAUUCAUAGAGAAUGGCAUGUAUAUUCGAUAAGCUAUGAUAGUGGACAAAUGAGAAGUACUAUCGUACCUUAUUUAGCUAAUCUAUGAUUCAAUAUCUCGUUGUAAUUUGCUUAAACGAGAUGAGCGAGAGAGAAUAUAUACAUCAAAACGCUCUUAAAAGACGAUUCCAGCGUAUAUUGUGUGAAUGGCAUAGUUGGAAAGAAAGAUGAGCGUGACAAUAAUGAUGUAUAUGAAAAAUUU
rnacentral:misc_RNA from 2 species